rnacentral:rRNA from 1 species
AUUGAACGCUGGCGGCAUGCCUAACACAUGCAAGUCGAACGGGGCAGCAAUGCCUAGUGGCGGACGGGUGAGGAAUACGUAGGAAUCUGCCCUUAAGUGGGGGAUAACCAGGGGAAACCCUGACUAAUACCGCAUGAUCUCUUCGGAGCAAAGAGGGGGACCGCAAGGCCUCUCGCUUCUGGAUGAGCCUACGUCUGAUUAGCUAGUUGGUAGGGUAAAGGCCUACCAAGGCGACGGUCAGUAACUGGUCUGAGAGGAUGAUCAGUCACACCGGAACUGAGACACGGUCCGGACUCCUACGGGAGGCAGCAGUGGGGAAUAUUGGACAAUGGGCGCAAGCCUGAUCCAGCCAUGCCGCGUGGGUGAAGAAGGCCUUCGGGUUGUAAAGCCCUUUUGUCCGGAAAGAAAAGCCUCGGAUUAAUACCCUGGGGUGAUGACGGUACCGGAAGAAUAAGCACCGGCUAACUUCGUGCCAGCCGCCGCCGUAAUAC